rnacentral:rRNA from 1 species
AGCGAACGCUGGCGGCAGGCCUAACACAUGCAAGUCGAACGAACCUUUCGGGGUUAGUGGCGGACGGGUGAGUAACACGUGGGAACGUGCCUUUAGGUUCGGAAUAACUCAGGGAAACUUGUGCUAAUACCGAAUGUGUCCUUCGGGGGAAAGAUUAAUCGCCUUUAGAGCGGCCCGCGUCUGAUUAGCUAGUUGGUUGAGGUAAUGGCUCACCAAGGCGACGAUCAGUAGCUGGUCUGAGAGGAUGAUCAGCCACAUUGGGACUGAGACACGGCCCAAACUCCUACGGGAGGCAGCAGUGGGGAAUCUUGCGCGAUGGGCGAAAGCCUGACGCAGCCAUGCCGCGUGAAUGAUGAAGGUCUUAGGAUUGUAAAAUUCUUUCACCGGGGACGAUAAUGACGGUACCCGGAGAAGAAGCCCCGGCUAACUUCGUG